CCGUUCUGCACCGUAUCUCUGGAUUUGCGGACCCAUUUAAGUGAAUGGGUCCGCAGCCGUGAUGCGGAAUGCAUGCGGCCGGUGUCCCGUUUAUUGCGGACUCGCAGUAUGCGGGCCACAAUACGGCCACGGGGGACACACGGUCGUGUGCAAGAGGCCUUACAUUUAUGCAUUGUGUUUAUAAGAGGGCCUAA